ACGAACGCUGGCGGCAUGCCUAACCCAUGCAAGUCGAACGAGACCUUCGGGUCUAGUGGCGCACGGGUGCGUAACGCGUGGGAACCUGCCUUUAGGUUCGGAAUAACUCAGAGAAAUUUGAGCUAAUACCGGAUGAUGUCUUCGGACCAAAGAUUUAUCGCCUUUAGAUGGGCCCGCGUUGGAUUAGCUAGUUGGUGGGGUAAAGGCCUACCAAGGCGACGAUCCAUAGCUGGUCUGAGAGGAUGAUCAGCCACACUGGGACUGAGACACGGCCCAGACUCCUACGGGAGGCAGCAGUGGGGAAUAUUGGACAAUGGGCGAAAGCCUGAUCCAGCAAUGCCGCGUGAGUGAUGAAGGCCUUAGGGUUGUAAAGCUCUUUUACCCGAGAUGAUAAUGACAGUAUCGGGAGAAUAAGCUCCGGCUAACUCCGUG
rnacentral:rRNA from 1 species